AGGGAAACUUACUGCUGUACGCAUCACACCUUCCACUUGGGGUUCCCAACGGUCGCGUACUGUACGCGUGUCAGCCACCGCGACCUCGGCCGCUCCCUUGCGCGUGCGCGGCUGCCGGCGCCAUCCCCGCCGCCAGUCCCUCUCUGGACGGCGCGGGCGACACCGGUCUCCGGGCGGCGUGACCGGUCUCCCUUUUUUCCCCAUCGAGGCCACCUCGGCAGCAGCAGCUACAGCCGGCGGUCAUCGCGGGGACGACGGACAUGGUAGCAGGAGCAGCAGGUGGUCGCUGCUUCCAGGUCGCGCUUCAUCUCCUCCGCCUUCCUCCGCUUGCCCCUUCUCCCCGCCAGCGAGCUCCCGGGAAGGAGGCCGCUCUCCUCCGUUUCUUUUUUCCCCCUCCCGUCUUGCAUCCUCUCUCUCUCUUCUUUUCUAUCCAAGAAGUCAACGACAACGCACCAACACAGGCGGAGGCUUUCAAAAGCCACGAGGAGCGGAGGAAGACACGAUAUUGGAGGUCAGCCACGGCAGAUGCAGCAGACUUGAUGGAUGCAGCAGACUUGAUGGCGAGGAGGGCUUCUGGGGUGCGAGGUGCGUGACCGUCACCUCCAUCUUGCCCCUUGAAAUUCAGCGCCGUGUCUGGUGGGUUUCUGCCUCCUCGGCCCAUGGCUCUUGGUCAGCAGACGGGGGAGGCUCCACCACUACUGUAGACUACAACGAGGUGAGGCUAUCCAUGGUGUGGUCACAUCCAUGCUUGGAGAGCGAUGGAUGGCGCAAAGAAGGGGAUGCCUGGAAGUUCAUGGCUUUGGCUCCGUCGACCUCCCUCGUGGAGGAACGGCCGGGAUGGAAAUCGAGCUGGUGAACCUUCAACUAGAAGGCUUUGUUUUGACCAGCAGCGAGCAAGGAGAGGAUCGGCAUCGGCCAGCUGGCAUCAGGGAGGAGCUGCGGUAACAACCAGGCAGCAGGGAGGGGCAGCCAAAGCUAUCGGGUGGCACGGACCAGUAGUAUCGAAGCAGCUGCAAGCCAACUACAGCGUCUCAGUCUCCCAGCGCUUGCUGGCGUAGUACGGCUAUGUGUCGGGUCAGUUCAGGGUUGGAGCGUGACGAGGAGAUGCAGCAGGUGCCGGAGACGGGAGGCAGCCUGCAUUGUCAUGCGGGAGGGGCGACAGUGAUAACAAUAAGCUUCUUGAGCAUUGCGAGGUGCUAUAAACUUUAGCUGUUUUGGAUCUUCUGAAAACGAAAAGAUGUGGUUGUGGAGCUGACCCAGGUGGCAAAGAAGAACACCAACGACCUGAUGGACGUGCAGCUGUAUAUGCACUUCUUAUGCUCACAUUUUCUUCUGAAAACGGAACGAGAUGGAUUUAUGAUAUAUCACAUUAUCAUCAAGAGAAAGAACUUAAUGGACACUCCCAAGGAUAUUCAGGGUUCCUUAUAUAGAAUAUUAUUCGAUCUUAUGCUAAAAACAUGGUCUUUCAAAGGCUGAGUACCAUCUUGAAUUAUAAGAAGAUAGCAAAGUUCGUGUGAAUUGCUCUUUAAUGCAUCUACAUGGUUCCUGUGAACAUGUCGAUGUCUGGAGCCCAGUCCAAUGAUUUAUGAAAUAGCAAAGAAAGUUGCUGGCAAGCUCAAGGGCCCAACAUUAUCUGGGUAGUUCAACGAAGAAACAAUCCGGUGGUUUGCAAUCAAAGACAACAUAUGAGCUCCCAGUUUCAAAGCUUUAUAUUCAGCAAUUUUGAUUUAUGACAGUUCGGCCUGCAUCAGCGCUGCGAGCCGGCAGCGCUGCAGGUGGCGCUCCCCACCUCCGGCACCGUAACGCAUUUGUAGGGGCGUGACAUCUCGUGGUGCCCAUCUCCUGGUCGAGAUGUACCUACUGUACUCCACGCUAGAGAUGACUGAUCUGAGGGCUGAGCUUCAGUACGUCAACGCCUCGGUGCUCCAUCUGCUCGCCUUUUCACAUCCUCCAAGCCAGCUGGAGCUGGGAGGCUUUCAGCAUUGGAUGGACUUUUCAACCAGUGAACUGUAUUGUUACAUGUGAACUAACAAACAUUCAGUUAAUUGAGGUUAGAUUUGUAUAGCUUCUAUUGAUGAUUAUCCAACUAUGUUGCAUGGUGUGAUGUGUGCAAUCUGGCAAUGAGGUGAAAAACAUGUCUUCACUGAAAUCCAUUAGGAACUUUAGUGAGUCAAAACAAUUUUUCCUAUAUACUAAAAUAGUGAGCUCUAAAAUAUCCUGUUUAAUAUUAUCUGGUAGUGCCAUCACUCGAAAUCACUUGAGCAUCCGUUUCUUCUCAGGUGCAGUGGAAACUGUGCGCUGCUGUGUGGUUUGGAUGGCUGACGCCUGAACCAGUGGUUGGCUGGUUGAGGUUGGUUCCAGACACAUUUUCUCCAUCCCCUUUCCCGAUCCAGGGUUGCGUUGUUCUUGAUCCCAAGUUGUGCUUUUUAGUCUGUUUCUAAUGUGAGCUUGUGACUGUUCUUUGUACAGGUUCACGUGGAACCACUGUGUUUGUGUUUGCUCUUUUACUCUGAAUCAUGCAUGCUUUGGUUUCGAUGUUUGUAUAGUUACUGAUCUCUAUAUUUUUGGCUUUGUAGUUCAGUGUACUGAUUUUCUCUUCCAUUUUGUCGGUUCUUUGUAACUGUAAAUUAUUUGGCCAUUUCUCAAUGCAAAAAUAUAUUAUUUUGCCCGUGCCUUAAAGCUGGAUCUAAUCUUAGUAAAAUAAUUACCAAAAUUAAUGUUAUAAUAGCAGUUCUAGCAGUGUAUAUUACUGAAUGAAUAUUUAAAAUUUUGAGAAUAUUGUUUCCUUUAAAAUAAUAAAUAGAUAGUAUAUAUGAAUGUCGUGUUGGAUCAGAAAUCAUGUUUCAAAUGGACUUCAGCUAAUGUGAACUGGGAUCAGUAUUCGCUUUGGACAGGAUUUUUUGAUAUCGCAGCCAAGUAUGAUAUAUGCUUGUGUUCCAACAAAUUUUCUGAAAAAGGAACUUUCAGUGAGUAUUUGCCAGAUAUUGUCAGUACUUGAUUCACACCACGAGGUAAUAAAGUUUGUCCACUGUUUUUUUCCUCCUUUUGUUUGGCAGGAUUAUUUUAGGUUCCUUUUCUUCGACCUGCUUUGGUGUUAUAGCAGUACAACACAAAAAAAUGCGUAAUUAUGAUUGUUCUUCUGCAUGUUAAACGGGCAUGCUUCUCUUUCACUGAGAAGAGGGACAUUCAAAAUCUAAAAGGAAUUGAUGCAUACGAACUGAAUAUUCUGCAAGCAAACUACGAAGAAAAUUGGCAAAUAUGCUUGUUAGUCUUGUUUCAGUCGGGAAGUGUGCAAAUAUCUAUAGUUGACUUCCAAAGAAGCUGCAAACAGGAAUGAUUUGUGCAUGGAUCAGUAGAAUCAACCUAACAUUUAACAGUGCAUUGGGCAAAACCUUAGGCUUGCAUGUUUAUGGACCUCAUGUAUAAGAAACAAUUGAUAUACCAUCCCAUUUAUGUGCUUAGUAGGUUUGUUAAUUCUGAAGCUUUUGUAAUUCUCAAAAGAAAAAUCCCCGUUAUACAAAAUUUAUAUUGGUAAGAGCUCCACGGGAUCGUGAGCCAAGGCGAACAUCUAAAUCUAGUACGCUCUAAAGCUGCCUAUCAGCAAGCCAAGUUGGAAAUACUCAGCCGCAUCGUUGCUUGGUUAAUCUAUGUAUGCUAUGUGAGCCAAAAAAAAUAUAAACGGAAGGGACUGUGUGAGGGCUUACUAGCGAGGACUGCUGGCGACGACGAUCGCUUCUGCGGGAAUCUGGAGGCGGAUCCAUACUUGAGACGAAGAGGAUGCCGAACGCGGCCUAACACGGACCAUUGAUUGGUAUGCGCGAAGGUUCACGCGGGAAUUGAAGCCUGCGGAUGGUCAAGAGAGAGGUAGGUUCGGAAGGGGUUAUCUUUGGCUGCUAGGUCCUGCAGGGGCGGAGCCAGCUUUCAAUCUUGAGGGGGGCAAAAUAGUGUUGUAAACUUCAUGAGGGGGGCAGAGUAAGCUAAAUCAGCAAGAAAUUACAGUUCUAGUGAGUAGUAUUCUUCAUAAAAUCCAAACCAUGGGGGUGGCUGAGCCCCCCCUCGUCCCCCCUUGUCUCCGUCCCUGAGGUCCUGGCUAUGGCCUAGCUGGGCCAGAAAGUUCAGUUUAUUUUUCUCUCCUCAUACAUGUCGAUGUACCUAACACAUGUCAGGCUGAUGUUUCUCCUCUGGCAGGUGAUUGGUAUGCUAUACCGUGUAUUCUCCAUUUAUUUCUGUUUCUUGUGAUUUUUAUUGGUUCACAAGUGUGAUGUUGUUCUUUUGAUUCUGGAUUUUUUUG